rnacentral:rRNA from 1 species
CCCCUAGAUGUUCUGGGCCGCACGCGCGCUACACUGAACAGUUCAACAAGUCUUAACCUUGGCCGAUAGGUCUGGGUAAUCUUUGAACGCUGUUCGUGACUGGGAUAGACCUUUGCAAUUAUGGGUCUUCAACGAGGAAUUCCUAGUAAACGCAAGUCAUCAGCUUGCAUUGAUUACGUCCCUGCCCUUUGUACACGCCGCCCGUCGCACCUACCGAUUGAAUGGUCCGGUGAAAUCUCGGGACGGCGGCUUGGUCGCUUGCGUCCGACUGCUGAAACUUGAUUAAACCAUAUCAUUUAGAGGAAGGUGAAGUCGUAACA